rnacentral:lncRNA from 1 species
AUCUUUUUAGGUGCUGUUCUCCAUUGAGACUUCUAAGGACAUCUGUGACGUUGGUCAUUAUGUGAGUGGAAAUGAAAAAGGUUAGGAACUGAAUGAUCAAAGGCAGGGUAGAAACCCCCAGCUGAGAUUAAAUAAUUACUACAACACAGACCUGCUGAGGCUGAGA